GGGACGGUGGAAGAGCUUGGUUCACCAACUCUCUCAACGGGUUUUCACCGGAACUCCGGUGCGACGCUGAGAGUUCCUUCGUCACGCUUGUAACGUGGUCACGCAGGUUCGAAUCCUGUCCGUCCCA
rnacentral:tRNA from 1 species